GAGAGAGACAUGCGCGCAUAUCAAUAAGCGGAGGAAAAGAAACUAACAAGGAUUCCCCUAGUAACGGCGAGUGAAGCGGGAAGAGCUCAAAUUUGAAAUCUUAAAGGGUUUCCCUUUACGAAUUGUAGUUUAAAGAAGUGUUUUCUGUUGAGGUUUUGGUAAAAGUUCUUUGGAAUAGGACAUCAUAGAGGGUGAGAAUCCCGUAUUUGACCUUUACUUUCAACUUUGUGAUACACUUUCAAAGAGUCGGAUUGUUUGGGAAUGCAGUCCAAAAUGGGUGGUAAAUUUCAUCUAAAGCUAAAUAUUGGCGAGAGACCGAUAGCGAACAAGUACCGUGAGGGAAAGAUGAAAAGAACUUUGAAAAGAGAGUUAAACAGUACGUGAAAUUGUCAAAAGGGAAGCGUUUGACACCAGUGUUGUUUUUCUGAAAAUCAAUUAAAGAACUGUUUAUGCUAAGCUGUUUAGACUUUAUCAGCUAACUGUUUAGUUUUGAGCUUUUCUUUAAUGCACUUUUCAGUUAACAAGUCAACAUCAAUUUCUUUUGCUGUAAAAAAGCUUGAGGAAGGUGGCUUGAGAUUCGUCUUAAGUGUUUAUAGCCUCUUGCCUAUGCAGUCGGAGAGAUUGAGGUCUGCAGCGUAGAUCCUUCGGGGCUAAAUGCAUUUGUGCUAAGUUAUAGCAUUUUAUAGACAACUUGUUGACUAUGAUUUGUCUUGUAGCUUACUCGCUUAUGUUAUUUUACCUACGCUUAGGAUGUUGAUGUGAUACUGCGAGCA
rnacentral:rRNA from 1 species